CCUACGGGAGGCGGCAGUGGGGAAUCUUGCGCAAUGGGCGAAAGCCUGACGCAGCCAUGCCGCGUGAAUGAUGAAGGUCUUAGGAUUGUAAAAUUCUUUCAGUAGGGACGAUAAUGACGGUACCUACAGAAGAAGCCCCGGCUAACUUCGUGCCAGCAGCCGCGGUAAUACGAAGGGGGCUAGCGUUGCUCGGAAUUACUGGGCGUAAAGGGAGCGUAGGCGGGUUAUCAAGUUGGAGGUGAAAGCCCAGGGCUCAACCUCGGAAUUGCCUUCAAAACUGAUAGCCUAGAGUAUGAUAGAGGUAUGUGGAACUCCGAGUGUAGAGGUGAAAUUCGUAGAUAUUCGGAAGAACACCAGUGGCGAAGGCGACAUACUGGGUCAUGACUGACGCUGAGGCUCGAAAGCGUGGGGAGCAAACAGGAUUAGAUACCCUGGUAGUCCACGCUGUAAACGAUGAUUGCUAGUUGUCGGACGGCAUGCCGUUCGGUGACGCAGCUACGCAUAAGUACACUCCGCCGUCGGGAGGUACGGUCGCGAGAUAAACUACAAGAAGUAGACGCGNGAGACGUGCGACGGACGACGACGAGGGAGGAGG
rnacentral:rRNA from 1 species